rnacentral:rRNA from 1 species
UACGGAAGGCAGCAGGGGGAAGUAUUGCACAAUGGGCGCAAGCCUGAUGCAGCCAUGCCGCGUGUAUGAAGAAGGCCUUUCGGGUUGUAAAGUACUUUCAGUCGUGAGGAAGGUGUUAAGGUUAAUAACCUUAGCAAUUGACGUUAGCGACAGAAGAAGCACCGGCUAACUCCGUGCCAGCAGCCGCGGUAAUACGGAGGGUGCGAGCGUUAAUCGGAAUUACUGGGCGUAAAGGGCACGCAGGCGGUUAAUUAAGUUGGAUGUGAAAUCCCCGGGCUUAACCUGGGAAUGGCAUUUUAAGACUGGUUAGCUAGAGUCUUGUAGAGGGGGUAGAAUUCCAUGUGUAGCGGUGAAAUGCGUAGAGAUGUGGAGGAAUACCGGUGGCGAAGGCGGCCCCUGGCAAAGACUGACGGCUCAUGUGCGAAAGCGUGGGGAGCAAACAGGGAUUAGAUACC